AUAACCUUUUCCACAACAUAUCAUCAUAACUCUAUUGAAAAAGUAUUAUAAUAAGUAUAUUAAAUUAUUUAAAAAAAAUUAAAGAGUUUGAAAUGUAUUAUAAUAGUGGGAAACGAAAAUUAGGCGGUAGCUUUUUGGCAAAAGCCUGCAAAAUCUGAAGGCUUUUCUUUUUGUUUAAAGCAAAAUAUAAAAAAAGGUAUUUUGUUCGCCUUUUUCCACUUCCAUUCUAUUCUGAUAUAUUCUUCUCAUCCCCAUUCUCAAAGACUCUCUUCGCUCCAGCCGUCACACAUUCUCUAUUGAGUACUCUCUGAAAUUGAUUAGCUUUAAGUUUGCUCUUGGAUUGUUUCUCUUCCGAUUGUCUCUGCCAUCUCUCCUAUCAUCUUCAACAACUUUGAUUAUCUACCAUUUUUUGUCUUCUCUGGCAUCAUUAGCUAUCCGGGAUGACAUUUUUUGACAUUGUGUUUGAAAUGAACAAACUGCAGCAAGUGAUGAAGAUUUAAGUAAAUUUAAGAAACUGCAGGACAUAUCCUCAUGAUUCUGGGAGACGACAUCAAGCUUUGUUGAAUUUAACCAUAAUGAAAGUUCAUACUUGCUGAAGCUGAUAUAAGGUAGUGUCUAUUUGUGUUUCUUCAUUCUUCAUUAUGUGAAACCCAGAAAAGUGGUUGCCACCUCCCUCCGACGAGUACUCUUAGCUACUGCCACCGCCUUCAAAUUUGAAUAUUUGCCUCUAUUGUCAAGUUGUCUUAGCCCCUAUUGACACCACCAUCUUUGAAUCGCUGACUCCCUUCUCUGGAUUUUUGAAUCUCCGUCUCAGCCCCUGAAACGACUUCCUGGUUUCGAUUUUUUCUAUGGGGGCAUCAUAUAUUGAGAUUGUUGUUCGGUUUUGACAGGGGCGCCAUAUAGAGAUUUUUAUCGGUUUGCUUGCUUGGGUGGUAUGAAAUUUUUGAUACACUUGGCUAUGUCUUUAUGCGUUUCAGAUUUUUGGCUCAGUGGUUUGGUGGCUUUGAGUUUCAUAUUGUCGGUUUGUUGCCUUUUAGGUAUAUUGUUAUGAUUUAUUUUGAUUAAAUUCUGAAUAUUCUGAAGGAUUAAUGAUUGUGCAUUGUUCUGAGGCCCUUUGAUUGUUAUUUGCAAUGUGUAUUAGUAUAUGACUUAGAUUUAAUAUGGUUUAGGUGUUUAGUAUUUGCAAUGUGUGUUUAGUCUUUAAGUGUGUUAAGAAUUUUGUGUAUUUUUCUUUGUUUGCUUGUAUGGUCUAGUUUGGUUUACAACUUGCUUUUCAGCUUGCUAUUUAUUUGUAUGGUUUGUUCUAUGUGCAUUCAAGCAUGAUCUGUUCAUUCAGACUUUGCCUUUUACUCUAAAUAAGAAUUUAGUUUGGUUUUGAUGUGAGUAUAAGAUAUGAAUAGAUUAGUUUGAUAAGUUUAAUACAUUGAUGAAUCUAGUUUUUUGUUCCUGUACUCAGAUUUAGAUGUUUGGCGAGUUGGGUACUUUGUUUCUGAAAUUUGUUUUCAUAUUUGGAUAUUUGGUUUCUUAGGACUUUGUUUAAGAUAUUGAUAUAUUUAUGCAUAUUGAAGACACAAUUUCUUUAUUCAUGUUUCAGAUUUUAUAUUAAUUUUAAGGUAUAGAAGUUUUGAUUUCAUAUUAUAGUUGAAGAAAUUGACUAAGGAUGAUUUUUUUUUAAUAGUUAAGCACUGAUUUCAUUUAUUUAUUUGCUGCUAUGAUUUAUGUUGAUUAAAUCCCUAAUAAUUUGAAGGGUUUAUGAUGAUUGAUUUUUCUAAGGCAAUUUUUUUUAUGCUCUGUUUAAGGUAAUUUUUUAUAAUAUGUAUCGAUCCUUUUUUGUUGCUCUGGUUUGUUGUGUUUAGUUCUUUAGUGUUUCAUAUCACCAUAUUUUUGUAUUCUGUUUUAUUUUUAGGCAAUCUGUUGUGGUAUGUGUCAUUGUUACUUUGAAUUAUUUUGGCCUAUGAUGUUCAAGAAUAAAUAUACUUAUUUUAUGUUGGUGAUUAUGACACUUGAUGUGUUCAUAUUUUAUAUUUAUUUUUAAUAUAUGUUGGUAUCUCAAGUGUCGUAAAUGCCCAUAAUAAUAAAUCAUAUAUUUUCUGAAAUCCUUAUGAUGGUUAAAUUGGGGAUAUUUAUUUUGCUGAAAUUAAUUAUAAAGUCCUUCUCACUGGCGCCAAUUCGAACCCCACCUUCGGCCAUUGUCGGUGUCCACCUCCCAAAGUCAUCAUCGACAUUCACAAUAAGUUCAGUUAGAGAAAAGGAGGCUCUCAUGCAAUAAUCGAAAAGUGAAGAAUAGGAAGAAUGUCAAGAAAAAUGACAUUAUUGAGUUUUCAAUGACCUAAAAAUAAUGUAUAGAUAUUUUUUUUUUAUGAAAUGUGCUUCUUAAUAAGCAA